rnacentral:tRNA from 1 species
GCCAGGCUGGCUCAGUUGGUUAAGCAUCUGACUUUGGCUCAGGUCAUGAUCUCAUGAUUUGUGGGUUUGAGCCCUGCGCUGGGCU